AGAGUUUGAUCCUGGCUCAGGACGAACGCUGGCGGCGUGCCUAAUACAUGCAAGUAGAACGCUGAAGAGAGGAGCUUGCUCUUCUUGGAUGAGUUGCGAACGGGUGAGUAACGCGUAGGUAACCUGCCUUGUAGCGGGGGAUAACUAUUGGAAACGAUAGCUAAUACCGCAUAACAAUGGAUGACACAUGUCAUUUAUUUGAAAGGGGCAAUUGCUCCACUACAAGAUGGACCUGCGUUGUAUUAGCUAGUAGGUGAGGUAACGGCUCACCUAGGCGACGAUACAUAGCCGACCUGAGAGGGUGAUCGGCCACACUGGGACUGAGACACGGCCCAGACUCCUACGGGAGGCAGCAGUAGGGAAUCUUCGGCAAUGGGGGCAACCCUGACCGAGCAACGCCGCGUGAGUGAAGAAGGUUUUCGGAUCGUAAAGCUCUGUUGUAAGUCAAGAACGAGUGUGAGAGUGGAAAGUUCACACUGUGACGGUAGCUUACCAGAAAGGGACGGCUAACUACGUGCCAGCAGCCGCGGUAAUACGUAGGUCCCGAGCGUUGUCCGGAUUUAUUGGGCGUAAAGCGAGCGCAGGCGGUUUGAUAAGUCUGAAGUUAAAGGCUGUGGCUCAACCAUAGUUCGCUUUGGAAACUGUCAAACUUGAGUGCAGAAGGGGAGAGUGGAAUUCCAUGUGUAGCGGUGAAAUGCGUAGAUAUAUGGAGGAACACCGGUGGCGAAAGCGGCUCUCUGGUCUGUAACUGACGCUGAGGCUCGAAAGCGUGGGGAGCGAACAGGAUUAGAUACCCUGGUAGUCCACGCC
rnacentral:rRNA from 1 species